ensembl:lncRNA
AGGUUUCCAAGUAGCUGGAGUUGUAACCAUGGAGCAGCGCACACAGCUAGUAAUAGGUGUCAGAUAUUAUGUCCCAGCAAUGAGAAAGUAACUAAGGCAGGUACAGUGAGCAGCUCUUCGCAGUCCUGAAGUCCAUGUUCCCAGGCACCAGCCACAGGUCAAGCUCAGAAGUGGGUAUUUGGAGGACAGCAGUCUCAAGCUUGCCAUGGGUAUGGUAAUGCAUGCCUGUAAUCCCAGAACUCAGGAGGCCGAAUCAGGAGGAUUACUGCAAGUUUGAGGCCAGCCUGGGCUACAUAUGAGUUCAAGGCCACCCUGGAAUACAUAGAGAAACCCUAUCUCAACUCCCUCCCCACAAAAAAAAAUCACACAUUUAUUCCUUUACAAUUCUGGAAUUUUAAAAUUCAAAAUGAGUCUUACAGAAAUAAAAGAAGGUGUCAGCAGAUUUCCAGAAAGAAUCCAGCUUCUAGAGGCACUCAUAGCUCUUUCCUCCAUCCUUAAAACC